rnacentral:rRNA from 1 species
UACAGAGGUCCCAAGCGUUGUUCGGAUUCACUGGGCGUAAAGGGUGCGUAGGUGGUUGGGUAAGUCUGAUGUGAAAUCUCGGAGCCUAACUCCGAAACGGCAUCGGAUACUAUCUAGCUUGAGGGCUGGAGGGGGGACUGGAAUUCUCGGUGUAGCAGUGAAAUGCGUAGAUAUCGAGAGGAACGCCAAUGGCGAAGGCUAGUCUCUGGACAGCACCUGACACUGAGGCACGAAAGCUAGGGGAGCAAACAGG